UACGGAGGGUGCAAGCGUUAUCCGGAUUCACUGGGGUUAAAGGGAGCGCAGGCGGAUUUGUAAGUCAGUGGUGAAAGGCUUAAGCUUAACUUGGGAACUGCCAUUGAUACUAUAAGUCUUGAAUGUUGUUGAGGUUUGCGGAAUGGGUCAUGUAGCGGUGAAAUGCAUAGAUAUGACCCGGAACACCUAUUGCGAAGGCAGCAGGCUAAACAAAUAUUGACGCUGAGGCUCGAAAGCGUGGGGAUCAAACAGG
rnacentral:rRNA from 1 species